rnacentral:rRNA from 1 species
GAUGAACGCUGGCGGCGUGCCUAAUACAUGCAAGUCGAGCGAACAGACGAGGAGUUUGCUCUUCUGACGUGAGCGGCGGACGGGUGAGAAACACGUGGAUAACCUACCUAUAAGACUGGGAUAACUUCGGGAAACCGGAGAUAAUACCAGACAAUAUAUUGAACCACAUGGUUCAAUAGGGAAGGACGUUUUUCCUGUAUCUUAUAGAUGGAUCCGCGCCGCAUUAGCUAGUUGGUACGGUAACGGCUUACCAAGGCAACGAUGCGUAGCCGACCUGAGAGGGUGUUCGGCCACACUGGAACUGAGCCACGACCCAGACUCCUACGGGAGGCAGAGGUAGGUACGCGUCCGCAGAGGGGGAAAGCUUGACGGAGCAACGCCGCGCGGGUGCUGAAGCUCUUCGUAUGGGAAAACGCUGUUAGUGGGGAAGAACAAAUGUGGAAGUAACGAUGCAAGUCUGAACGUUACCGAAGCAGAAAGCCACGGCAAACUACGU